CCCGCCUUGGCCUCCCAAAGUGCUGGGAUUAUAGGCAUGAGCCACUGUGCCCAGCCCCAUGACAUGCAGUUCUGAUUUUGUUUGAGAGCACUCCUGCUUGGAGACUGAAGAUUGUUGCUUAGAACUUCAACUGCAGAGCAUUCAGUUCUUCUGGAAAUAAUACUGCAUUCAUUUCCUGGGGUCACUGUCACAAAGUCUCACAAACUGAGUGUCUUGAAAACAGAAUUUUAUUGUCUCAUACUUCUGGAGGCUGGAAGUCUAAGAUCAUGGUGUCGGUACUGGCAGGGUUGGUUCCUUCUGAGGCUGUGAGAGAGAAUCUGUUCUGCCACUCUCUGAGCUUCUGGUAGCCUCAGGCAUCCCUUGGUUUGUAGAUGGCCAUCUCCUCUGUGGGUUCUCCCUCUGUACUUUCCCUCUGUAUCUUCCUGUCCCUGUACCUGUCUCUGUGUUCAAAGUCUCCCUUUUGCUAAGGACACAGUCAUACCGGAUUAGGGCUCUCCCUAAUGACCUCAACUUGUGCAUCUGCAAAGACUUUAUUUCAAGUAAGGUCACAGUCACAGAUACUGUGAAUUAGGACUUCAAUAUCAUCUUGGGGGACUCAUUUCAGCCCAUAACAAAUCUUUUCUGCCACCCGAAAGAAGUCAGGACUAACCAGAAAGAGUGAAAACCCUUCACAAGAGGAAAUUUCUUAAUGUUUCUGAAAAAAGAGAUACAUCCUACCUUAAACCUAUAUAGGAUUUUACAGACUAUAAAACAUAUUCAUGAUCUUCAUAGUAACCCUUCAAAUCUACUAAAUACAUUUAUAGUCAGAACGUUUAAUUAAACACUUUGAGGUCACAUUCACAAGGGAGGGUCUACGGCUGAACUUUAGUCAUACAAUCCCAUUCAUGUUUACUGCUCUCCCCAAAUAAAUGAGCAGUCCAGUCUGACUCAUCACAGACCAGGGGGCACGAUGGCUGAGAAACCGCAGACUAACCUAGCUGACAUCACAAAGAACCUGAAAGGUCUGGUCACAAGAGAGCAAAGGAAGGUGAAUAAAUCCUCCUUCAGAAAGUGGCGCAUUCAGGAUGAGAUGCUGAGGAAGAAAGGAAAACACAGUGCUACCACUUGUGAAGAUCACUGAUUAAUACAGACACUGAAGACUACCUUUUUUUUGAUUAGGAUGGAAAGAGGUCUCUUGAAUUUACCAGGAUAUACUGCUAAUCUGGCAACACCAAGAAGCACUGAGCACCUAUCUUCUUUAAAAUGCCUAGGGAAUUCUUGCAGGAAGUAACUCUAGAAUGAGACCUGAAGUUGUCAAGUAGAAAAGGGGUGCGGCUGAAGAACUGCUGUAGAGGCAGACAGAACAGCUGUGCAGGAAGUGAGAGCAAGAAACAUCACCCUGGCUGCACCGGAAACAUGGACUGGAACGAAGAAAGAUUGGAGGUGGGGAGACAAGUUGACCAAGGCUUUGACCCAGGCAGCAGAGGAGAAAGGAUCUGAGUCAAGGCAGAGGCAGGAGGAGAGGAGAAAAGAGUAAACAGAAAGAUGUCGCGAAGGCUGGACUGAGUGGCUGAUGGGAUGUUGAGGAUGAAGGAGAUAGAGGGGUGAGGUGUGAUAGCUAGGAUGCCAGCUCGGACAGCUUGUUACAUGUGAUUGCAUCAUUCAAGACAGAAAGCACAGAAGGAGAAGCUGCCUUGACAAGAUGAUUAUGAAUUCAGUCUAGGAAGUAUUUGCUGAAUUUGUAGCACCUGGGACAUCUGUAUGAGGAUGCACCAGGGCCAAGAGUAUACGUAGGCCCAGAGCAUGGGACAGAGCUCUGGAUGGAGGUGACAAUGUGGGGAUCAAUCGAGCGAGGUGUAUCUAAAGCUGGUGGAGUGGAAGAGGGUUUUCUGGUGUGGUCAGAGUGUAAAGUCAGGAGAAGUUAGUGCCAAGAGCACAAUGCUGAGAGACACUGACCACAGCGGGUGCAUGGACAAGAGAGGGCACACAAGAGAUGCCACAAUCGGGAGGCGGGUAGCGCAUGGGAAUGAAAACCUGGAGAGAUGGAGACCAUGGAACUCCAGAAAAGAGAAUAUUUAUAAAAGAAGGGAGUGAGUGAUUGGCCGAAUGGCAUAGCCAAGACGUGAAGAGAAUGCAGAGGGCAUGGCCUUCCGGAGGACGUGUUGACCUUUGUAGGUCAUUGUCACAAGAGUGACAGCAGGAAGCCAAGUGGCCGCUGGCCAAUGGGGAAAAUAAGGCCUAAAGAAGCUGUCUUCAGAUCAUUUAGUACCCCUGCUUGAAACUCCUCCCUGGGCUUCCACAAGCUGAGGGCUAGAAGGCCAAGGGCAUGAGGCGAUGGGAGCUGGGGCUGCUGGGCUGGUCCUGCUCUGUGCAUGCAGCCGGGAGUGGGGAUGUGGAGCAAACAUGAACGCUGGGGUGGCCCACAGUGAAGUGAAUCCAAAUACCCAUGUAGUGGACAGCCAGGGUCUGUGGCUGACACACGCAUUGGGCUCCUUUUGUCUUACUCAGCAUUCCUUCUUCCGUGUUCUCAUUGCUUAGAUCUUGACAAAUAUUAUACAUAAUCUGGGGAUGAAUGAAUUUUUCCAUGCUUGAAAGGAACACCUUUGGAAACCCCUGACCAGGGUAAAGCAAGGAUCCCAACGCACUGCGAACAGCUGGGUGACGGAGUACCGUUUACAUCUUCACAGAAGUUUUUCACCAUUUCUCCAAUCAUUCUGUGUUUUCCAGCAAGUUUCUAUAGAAGUAUGCUCCAACUCACUCCGUCGUAAGCACGGCUUCUCUCCUGAGUAUGCUAAACUCCCCAAACGCAGCAACAACACAGCGUUCCGAUCUUUGGAAUUAAUAAGCAGUGAAACGUUUGAAACUGAACAAAAAUUUUUACAGCUACUGAACUUCCUGUAAGGAAGGCAUGCUUAGUAAACUGCACUCUUUCUGUAAUACUGUGAAAUGGGAGGUAUUUACGUUGGAGGGCUGAUUGCUGGUUCUUCAUAUGAUGUUUUGAAGUGGAGGUUUCUAUUAAUGAUGCCUCUGUUGAGCACAUCUGGUAUAUUUCUGAAGAGAGGCUUUGUAAACACAUUGGGCAGGCCCAGCUUGUAAGUGACAAGGCAGCACAGUGAGGGUGCAGUGGAGAAAUCCAAGGAAAUAAGGGAUUUGUAAGAAACUAGGACCAGCUUAAGUUAUAAUGAAAGGGCAUCGUGUUAGGAAAAGAACAUUUCCAUCCUUCAGUCACCAUCAGUUAAAGCAGACGUACAUGGAAACCAGAAUGAUCUCUUUACAAGGUUAUUAAAGAUUGUUUUUAUUACCAUAAAUCACUCCUCAUUGGUCUCCUAUCUCCAAUUUGAUGUUUAGAAUCUAAUCUGGAAUUCUUAUGAUGCCCUAGGAGGCCCCUGAUGCUCUGCCUCCUGGUCUGUUUCUAUGUCUCUGUCCCCUAUAUAUAUAUUUUUU
rnacentral:lncRNA from 1 species